GAAUGUAUCCUCUUUUACCAAUGGAUGUGGAUUUGGAGUAGCUCUCCUAUUUUGGCAUUGAGUGAGUAGAAAUGACUUUAGUCAAGGAGUGUGUGUGUGUGUGUGUGUGUGUGUGUGCAUGAAUGCGUGAGCAUCCUGUGAGCCUGAGCUUUGAAUAGAGGCAGAUUUCAAAGGGAUCUUAUCUGCCAGUUUGUCUGUGUGAAACUACAUGCCAAACAUCUCCUGAAUGUGCAAUUGCAUUUUCCUGCAGUGCUAUCAUCAGUGACACUGGAACUCUUGCAGUGGAAUGUGACCGGUUGUGGUUCCUCCAAACAUGACACUCCAUCUUGUUACACAUCCACAAAAGCACUUCCGCUUAUGAGACAAACCAGGCUAAAGCACUGCAAAGUGGCUAAUGGAGAAGAUGCAUUACAUUCUGUCCUUUCUGAAGGGUGUCAUUUUUCAUUCAGGUGCCCCAGCGACGGUCAACAAAAUGACAGACCUGAAUUUAAAAUGUCUUCCCUGAAGUCCCUGCCAGAGAAAUGGAAAACCUGCCAACAGGAUGAGUGGAGAUGGCACAGUUUGGAAUAUUCAACACAGUGGUGGACAUCUCUCUCUCCGACACUCCUGGAGGUUAUAGUUGGUCUGGACUGGGGACAUUGCAUCCAUGGUGGAACAGCCGCUGGGCUGUUGAGUGCAGCAUAUAAAAGGCCGUCAUCCUUGGGUUUUUGGUUGAAGCUGUGGUACAGACUUAUUUUUCUCUGUAGCUACCAUAGGGUGAACAGGAGAGAGUCAGAGAGGUCCUGGAGAGGAUACUAGUGUGGAAGAGGUGGACUCCCUCUGGCGUGACAAAGUAGCAAAACAUUUCCAACUCUGGAACUAAAAAAGGUUGUAGCGGAGGGAUGAGAUGAGACCAGCAUGACACUCGGUAGGGAACUAUAAUAAAGAAUCGGCCUCCCCUUGAAUCA
ensembl:lncRNA